rnacentral:rRNA from 1 species
UGGGGAAUCUUCCGCAAUGGACGAAAGUCUGACGGAGCAACGCCGCGUGAGUGAUGAAGGUCUUCGGAUUGUAAAACUCUGUUGUCAGGGACGAAUGCACCGAUCUAUAAUACAUUUUGGUGUUGACGGUACCUGACGAGGAAGCCACGGCUAACUACGUGCCAGCAGCCGCGGUAAUACGUAGGUGGCAAGCGUUGUCCGGAAUUAUUGGGCGUAAAGAGCAUGUAGGCGGGCUUUUAAGUCCGACGUGAAAAUGCGGGGCUUAACCCCGUAUGGCGUUGGAUACUGGGAGUCUUGAGUGCAGGAGAGGAAAGGGGAAUUCCCAGUGUAGCGGUGAAAUGCGUAGAUAUUGGGAGGAACACCAGUGGCGAAGGCGCCUUUCUGGACUGUGUCUGACGCUGAGAUGCGAAAGCCAGGGUAGCAAACGGG